rnacentral:rRNA from 1 species
CCUACGGGAGGCAGCAGUGAGGAAUAUUGGUCAAUGGACGAGAGUCUGAACCAGCCAAGUAGCGUGAAGGAUGACUGCCCUAUGGGUUGUAAACUUCUUUUAUAUGGGAAUAAAAUGUUCCACGUGUGGGAUUUUGUAUGUACCAUAUGAAUAAGGAUCGGCUAACUCCGUGCCAGCAGCCGCGGUAAUACGGAGGAUCCGAGCGUUAUCCGGAUUUAUUGGGUUUAAAGGGAGCGUAGGUGGAUUGUUAAGUCAGUUGUGAAAGUUUGCGGCUCAACCGUAAAAUUGCAGUUGAAACUGGCAGUCUUGAGUACAGUAGAGGUGGGCGGAAUUCGUGGUGUAGCGGUGAAAUGCUUAGUUAUCACGAAGAACUCCGAUUGCGAAGGCAGUUCACUGGACUGCAACUGACACUGAGGCUCGAAAGUGUGGGUAUCAAACAGGAUUAGAUACCCGAGUAGUC